rnacentral:rRNA from 1 species
GACAGAGGAUGCAAGCGUUAUCCGGAAUGAUUGGGCGUAAAGCGUCUGUAGGUGGCUUUUUUAAGUCCGCCGUCAAAUCCCAGGGCUCAACCCUGGACAGGCGGUGGAAACUACCAAGCUGGAGUACGGUAGGGGCAGAGGGAAUUCUCGGUGUAGUGGUGAAAAUACGUAGAUAUCGAGAAGAACACCAAUAGCGAAAAGCACUCUGCUGGGCCGAAAACUGACAUUGAGAGACGAAAAGCUAGGGGGAGCGAAAAGGGG